AGAAACAGAUAUCCACCCAUCCGCUGCUCCCAUGGGACAGCAUCCAGUACAGACAGUGCAGGUCAGAGCUGAUCGAAUCGCCAGCAAACCCAGUCCAUCAGCCACAGGUCAAGAAUCCCAAGAUACAUUUUGCACAGGUCAGCUCUUGCCCACAUGUUUCAAAUCAUCCCCAGUUCCCCAAUCUCCAUUGUCACCACCUGUUUUAAGCCACCACUCCCUCUUGCCUGGACCAAUGGGAUCCUAAGUGGGACACUGUGAGGAAAUUAUUUCUAUUUUUUACAUGUUAUCUUUAAAAAUGAUGUAUUUCUUAUAUCUGCAUGUGUGUGUGUGUGUGUGUGUGUGUGAUGUUGCUGCAGUAGCAUGCAAUUUACAAGUAACUAGCUAACCCUCCUUGAGGACUCUGUUGAAAAUGUUAUUACUAAAACAGUUUAGUGAAAUGGAGUCACAGCAUGACUAACUCGUUUCUAAGGUCAUAGGCUGGGACCCGAGUUGCCUCAUCUCUGAAACAGACAUCAGAGCACGGGCCACCCUCAGAGAUGUGUCAAGCAAGGGCACAGCCCUGGGCUUAAAGCACAGACUGUGCAGGACUGCUGCCUGAUGUUGAACCUCAGAUCUGCUGCUGACCAGCUGGGUGAAGGUGCACAGCUUACCGCCUUUCCCGUCCUUCCGUUUCCUCACACGAAAAUUGAGAUAAUAUUGGAAUAUACCUCAAAGGAGCCUCAGUGACUGAAUGGUACAGAAAAUGGGAUCUCACUUUGUAGUCCAGGGCGGUAUCAAACUCCUGCUUCAAGUGGUCCUCCCUCCCCAGCCUCCUAAAGUGCAGGGAUUGGAGGCGUGAGACACUGUGCCCAGCAUUUAAAGUGUCUGCUGCACAACCCUAGUGACCCCCAUCACCAUGAUUCCUGGAUGAUUGCCGCGUCCUCCUCCGUGGUCUCACUCUUGCCCCUCCCAAUAGUCCCUUUUAUGCACCUCAAUUUCACUCCAGAGUCUGGAAAUUUCCACCAUCUGAGAGUCUUUCUGCCCACUCCUCAGCUCAUCCAAUCCUACCUUCCUCAUCCAAUCGCGUUUCCAUGGUGACCGCCAGAGCCUGCUUCUGAGGUCUGUGCCAAGUGAGAGUUUCUGUGGGGGGACAGGUCAGAGUGAUGGACGUCAGAGUAGCUGAGCUGAGAAGCGAGGCAGGGAUCACAGGAAUCAUCCACCCACCACCCAUCAAUCUCUCUACCCAUCUAUCCAUUCACUCUUCCAUUCAGUUAUCCACCUUACUAUUCAUUCAUCUUCUCUACUAUCCGUCCUUUCAUCUACCAUCCUUCCAUCCAUUAGCCUCUCUAUUCAUCCAUCUGUGGUGGGCUGAAUGAUGUCCCCCAGUGAUAUGAACAUCUUCGUAUCCAGAGACAGUGAGUGUCACCUGAUGUGGCAAAAGGGAUUCCCUACAGUCUAGGCCACAGCAACUCAACUCUACCUUUACAGUGCAGGAAGGGUUCCACAACCGUCCUCCUGUCGGUGGUUCACUGUGACUUCUGUCCCAGCUUCGCCCUUGGAUACACUCAUUCAUUCAUUCAGAUGAUAUUUAUUUGCAGAUGUGUUCAGACCCCUUUGCCUCUCAACUGUUGUUUGAGUCACCACCUGUGACAUCCUCAUCUUUCAUCAUCCUAAAGAGAAGUUCUGUCUUUCUCCUGUGGAACCCUUAAUGGAUCCCUAAGGAUCUGAGAAUAAACAGCUCCUUCCUUAUCACAGUUUGCAAGCAGCAGGCGCCCACAGCGUGCCCAGUGGAGGAGCCCAGGGUGGCAGCUGUGUUGGAAGCAGGGGCCACACAAUUCAUCUUAAUGCCCCAGCCCCGAAGAACUAGCACACGUACCUUCACGUUACGGAAAAUAAAAAGCAAUGCAAAUUUCUGGAGUAACACAAGUGAAACAGUUUUCAAUGCUUUAUGCCAUUGCGUGGGAUUCUACCUGCAUUGUUCUAAAGAAUUUCAGUUUGAGGAACGUUUGUAGGGCACAGAGGAAGUGCCCCAGCUGACAGGCACUUAGGGCAAGACACUCACAAAGUUCCCAAGGUGGGUUCAGCCGGGCGCGGUGGCUCACGCCUGUAAUCCCAACACUUUGGGAGGCUGAGGUGGGUGGAUCACCUGA